CACGUAUUUAGCCGGUGCUUCUUGGUCAGGUACCGUCAUUUUCUUCCCUGCUGAUAGAGCUUUACAUACCGAGGUACUUCUUCACUCACGCGGCGUUGCUGCAUCAGGGUUCCCCCCAUUGUGCAAUAUUCCCCACUGCUGCCUCCCGUAGGAGUUUGGGCCGUGUCUCAGUCCCAAUGUGGCCGUUCGCUCUCUCAAGCCGGCUACUGAUCGUUGCUUUGGUGGGCCGUUACCCCGCCAACUGGCUAAUCAGACGCGGGCCCAUCCUGUACCGCCGCAGCUUUUCCUGCCGGGCCAUGCGGCCCCGCAGGCUUAUGCGGUAUUAGCAGCCGUUUCCGGCUGUUGUCCCCCUGUACAGGGCAGGUUACCCACGCGUUACUCACCCGUCCGCCACUAAGUCCGUGCCGUCUUCCCUCCGAAGAGUUCCGUCGGCACGGCUUCGUUCGACUUGCAUGUGUUAGGCACGCCGCCAGCGUUCAUCCUGAGCCAGGAUCAAACUCU
rnacentral:rRNA from 1 species